GAUGAACGCUAGCGAUAGGCUUAACACAUGCAAGUCGAGGGGCAGCAUAGAAGUAGUUUACUACUUUUGAUGGCGACCGGCGGAUGGGUGAGUAACGCGUAUGCAAUCUACCUUAUACAUAGGGAUAGCCCGGAGAAAUUCGGAUUAAUACCUUAUAGUAUACAUUUCUCGCAUGAGUGGUGUAUUAAAGAUUUAUCGGUAUAAGAUGAGCAUGCGUUCCAUUAGUUAGUUGGUAAGGUAACGGCUUACCAAGACAUCGAUGGAUAGGGGAACUGAGAGGUUUAUCCCCCACACUGGAACUGAGAUACGGACCAGACUCCUACGGGAGGCAGCAGUGAGGAAUAUUGGUCAAUGGGCGAGAGCCUGAACCAGCCAAGUCGCGUGAAGGAUGACUGCCCUAUGGGUUGUAAACUUCUUUUAUAUAGGAAAUAAAGGACAAUACGUGUAUUGUUUUGCAUGUACUAUAUGAAUAAGCAUCGGCUAACUUCGUGCCA
rnacentral:rRNA from 1 species